UUUUGGAGGGAGUUACGCGCCUUCAAAGUUGGACGUGAGACACAGACAGCGAGACAGUCGUUUUCUCUGCUGUCUCUCACUCCCUCACCUCCAACUUCAAAGGCGCAUAACUCGCUUCAAAA
rnacentral:sRNA from 13 species